UGCAAGUCGAGCGGACCGACGGGAGCUUGCUCCCUUAGGUCAGCGGCGGACGGGUGAGUAACACGUGGGUAACCUGCCUGUAAGACUGGGAUAACUCCGGGAAACCGGGGCUAAUACCGGAUGCUUGAUUGAACCGCAUGGUUCAAUCAUAAAAGGUGGCUUUUAGCUACCACUUACAGAUGGACCCGCGGCGCAUUAGCUAGUUGGUGAGGUAACGGCUCACCAAGGCGACGAUGCGUAGCCGACCUGAGAGGGUGAUCGGCCACACUGGGACUGAGACACGGCCCAGACUCCUACGGGAGGCAGCAGUAGGGAAUCUUCCGCAAUGGACGAAAGUCUGACGGAGCAACGCCGCGUGAGUGAUGAAGGUUUUCGGAUCGUAAAACUCUGUUGUUAGGGAAGAACAAGUACCGUUCGAAUAGGGCGGCACCUUGACGGUACCUAACCAGAAAGCCACGGCUAACUACGUGCCAGCAGCCGCGGUAAUACGUAGGUGGCAAGCGUUGUCCGGAAUUAUUGGGCGUAAAGCGCGCGCAGGCGGUUUCUUAAGUCUGAUGUGAAAGCCCCCGGCUCACCGGGGAGGGUCAUUGGAAACUGGGGAACUUGAGUGCAGAAGAAGAGAGUGGAAUUCCACGUGUAGCGGUGAAAUGCGUAGAGAUGUGGAAGAACACCAGUGGCGAAAGCGACUCUCUGGUCUGUAACUGACGCUGAGGCGCGAAAGCGUGGGGAGCGAACAGGAUUAGAUACCCUGGUAGUCCACGCCGUAACCAUGAGUGCUAAUGUUAAAGGGUUUCGCCCUUUAUGCUGCAGCAACGCAUUAACACUCCCCUGGGGAGUACGUCGCAGACUGAACUCAAAGGAUUGACGGGGCCGCACAGCGGGGAGCUGUGGUUAUUCGAGCACGCGAGAACUUACCGGCUUGAAUCUCUGAAACCUAAAAAAGGCUCCCCUCCGGGCAAAUAACAGGGGGGAUGGUGUCUCCCCCCCGCCCGAAAAUUGGGUAAUUCCCCACAAAGGAACCUU
rnacentral:rRNA from 1 species